ACACGACUACAUUAGAUACCCGGGUAGUCCUAGCCGUAAACGAUACUCGCUAGGUGUCGGCCACGGUGCGACCGUUGUCGGUGCCGUAGGGAAGCCGUGAAGCGAGCCACCUGGGAAGUACGGCCGCAAGGCUGAAACUUAAAGGAAUUGGCAGGGGAGCACAACAACGGGUGGAGCUUGCGGUUUAAUUGGAUUCAACGCCGGAAAUCUUACCGGGACCGACAGCAACAUGAAGGCCACGCUGAAGACUUUGCCGGAUUAGCUG
rnacentral:rRNA from 1 species